rnacentral:rRNA from 1 species
GAUGAACGCUGGCGGCGUGCCUAAUACAUGCAAGUCGAGCGAACAGACGAGGAGCUUGCUCCUCUGACGUUAGCGGCGGACGGGUGAGUAACACGUGGAUAACCUACCUAUAAGACUGGGAUAACUUCGGGAAGCCGGAGCUAAUACCGGAUAAUAUAUUGAACCGCAUGGUUCAAUAGUGAAAGACGGUUUUUGUGUCACUUAUAGAUGGAUCCGCGCCGCAUUAGCUAGUUGGUAAGGUAACGGCCUACAAAGGCAAGCAUGCGUAGCCGACCUGAGAGGGUGAUCGGCCACCCUGGAGCUGAGACACGGUCCAGACUCCUACGGGAGGCAGCAGUAGGGAAUCUUCCGCAAUGGUGGAAAGCAUGACGGAGCAGCGCCGCGUGAGUGGUGAAGGUCUUCGGAUCGUAAAACUCUGUUAUUAGGGAAGAACAAAUGUGUAAGUAACUAUGCACGUCUUGACGGUACCUAAUCAGAAAGCCACGGCUAACUACGUG